AGCGAACGCUGGCGGCGUGCCUAACACAUGCAAGUCGAACGUGAAAGGGAGCAAUCCCAAGUAAAGUGGCGUACGGGUGAGUAACACGUAGGUAAUCUACCCCAGAAUCUGGAAUAACCGGCCGAAAGGCUGGCUAAUACUGGAUAGAGCGACGGAAUCCGUAAUUGGGUUUUUCGGGAAAGGGAGCCUGUAAAAAGGCCUUCGUUCUGGGAUGAGCCUGCGUCCCAUCAGCUAGUUGGUGAGGUAAAAGCUUACCAAGGCAAUGACGGGUAGCUGGUCUGAGAGGACGGUCAGCCACACUGGAACUGAAACACGGUCCAGACUCCUACGGGAGGCAGCAGGGGGGAAUCUUGCGCAAUGGACGAAAGUCUGACGCAGCAACGCCGCGGGAGUGAAGAAGGCCUUCGGGUUGUAAAGCUCUGUCGAGUGGGACGAAAAUGCUUGGAGUUCACAGCUCCAGGAACUGACGGUACCACUAAAGGAAGCACCGGCUAACUCCGUG
rnacentral:rRNA from 1 species